rnacentral:rRNA from 1 species
GGUUAAGUGACUAAGCGUACACGGUGGAUGCCUAGGCAGUCAGAGGCGAUGAAGGGCGUGCUAAUCUGCGAAAAGCGUCGGUAAGGUGAUAUGAACCGUUACAACCGGCGAUACCCGAAUGGGGAAACCCAGUGUGUUUCGACACACUAUCAUGUCAUGAAUACAUAGUGGCAUGAGGCGAACCGGGGGAACUGAAACAUCUAAGUACCCCGAGGAAAAGAAAUCAACCGAGAUUCCCCCAGUAGCGGCGAGCGAACGGGGAGGAGCCCAGAACCUGAAUCGGCUUGUGUGUUAGUGGAAGCGUCUGGAAAGUCGCGCAGCAAAGGGUGAUAGCCCCGUACACUAAAAUGCACAGGUCGUGAGUUCGAUGAGUAGGGCGGGACACGUGACAUCCUGUCUGAAUAUGGGGGGACCAUCCUCCAAGGCUAAAUACUCCUGACUGACCGAUAGUGAACCAGUACCGUGAGGGAAAGGCGAAAAGAACCCCGGCGAGGGGAGUGAAAUAGAACCUGAAACCGUGUACGUACAAGCAGUGGGAGCACCUUCGUGGUGUGACUGCGUACCUUUUGUAUAAUGGGUCAGCGACUUAUAUUUUGUAGCAAGGUUAACCGUAUAGGGGAGCCGUAGGGAAACCGAGUCUUAACUGGGCGAAUAGUUGCAAGGUAUAGACCCGAAACCCGGUGAUCUAGCCAUGGGCAGGUUGAAGGUUGGGUAACACUAACUGGAGGACCGAACCGACUAAUGUUGAAAAAUUAGCGGAUGACUUGUGGCUGGGGGUGAAAGGCCAAUCAAACCGGGAGAUAGCUGGUUCUCCCCGAAAGCUAUUUAGGUAGCGCCUCGUGAACUCAUCUUCGGGGGUAGAGCACUGUUUCGGCUAGGGGGCCAUCCCGGCUUACCAAACCGAUGCAAACUCCGAAUACCGAAGAAUGUUAUCACGGGAGACACACGGCGGGUGCUAACGUCCGUCGUGAAGAGGGAAACAACCCAGACCGCCAGCUAAGGUCCCAAAGUCAUGGUUAAGUGGGAAACGAUGUGGGAAGGCAUAGACAGCCAGGAUGUUGGCUUAGAAGCAGCCAUCAUUUAAAGAAAGCGUAAUAGCUCACUGGUCGAGUCGGCCUGCGCGGAAGAUGUAACGGGGCUAAACCAUGCACCGAAGCUGCGGCAGCGACGCUUAGGCGUUGUUGGGUAGGGGAGCGUUCUGUAAGCCGUUGAAGGUGGCCUGUGAGGGUUGCUGGAGGUAUCAGAAGUGCGAAUGCUGACAUAAGUAACGAUAAAGCGGGUGAAAAGCCCGCUCGCCGGAAGACCAAGGGUUCCUGUCCAACGUUAAUCGGGGCAGGGUGAGUCGACCCCUAAGGCGAGGCUGAAAAGCGUAGUCGAUGGGAAACAGGUUAAUAUUCCUGUACUUGGUGUUACUGCGAAGGGGGGACGGAGAAGGCUAGGCUAGCCGGGCGACGGUUGUCCCGGUUUAAGCGUGUAGGGGGUGUGACCUGGUAAAUCCGGUUACAUAUCAACCCUGAGGCGUGAUGACGAUGCACUACGGUGCAGAAGUAGUUGAUGCCCUGCUUCCAGGAAAAGCCUCUAAGCUCCAGGUAACAUUGAAUCGUACCCCAAACCGACACAGGUGGUCAGGUAGAGAAUACCAAGGCGCUUGAGAGAACUCGGGUGAAGGAACUAGGCAAAAUGGUGCCGUAACUUCGGGAGAAGGCACGCUGGCAUGUAGGUGAAGUCCCUUGCGGAUGGAGCUGAAGCCAGUCGAAGAUACCAGCUGGCUGCAACUGUUUAAUAAAAACACAGCACUGUGCAAACACGAAAGUGGACGUAUACGGUGUGACGCCUGCCCGGUGCUGGAAGGUUAAUUGAUGGGGUCAGCCGCAAGGCGAAGCUCUUGAUCGAAGCCCCAGUAAACGGCGGCCGUAACUAUAACGGUCCUAAGGUAGCGAAAUUCCUUGUCGGGUAAGUUCCGACCUGCACGAAUGGCGUAAUGAUGGCCAGGCUGUCUCCACCCGAGACUCAGUGAAAUUGAACUCGCUGUGAAGAUGCAGUGUACCCGCGGCAAGACGGAAAGACCCCGUGAACCUUUACUAUAGCUUGACACUGAACAUUGAGCCUUGAUGUGUAGGAUAGGUGGGAGGCUUUGAAGCGUGGACGCCAGUCUGCGUGGAGCCAUCCUUGAAAUACCACCCUUUAAUGUUUGAUGUUCUAACUCGGCCCCAUAAUCUGGGGUGAGGACAGUGUCUGGUGGGUAGUUUGACUGGGGCGGUCUCCUCCCAAAGAGUAACGGAGGAGCACGAAGGUUAGCUAAUCACGGUCGGACAUCGUGAGGUUAGUGCAAAGGCAUAAGCUAGCUUGACUGCGAGAGUGACGGCUCGAGCAGGUACGAAAGUAGGUCUUAGUGAUCCGGUGGUUCUGAAUGGAAGGGCCAUCGCUCAACGGAUAAAAGGUACUCCGGGGAUAACAGGCUGAUACCGCCCAAGAGUUCAUAUCGACGGCGGUGUUUGGCACCUCGAUGUCGGCUCAUCACAUCCUGGGGCUGAAGUAGGUCCCAAGGGUAUGGCUGUUCGCCAUUUAAAGUGGUACGCGAGCUGGGUUUAGAACGUCGUGAGACAGUUCGGUCCCUAUCUGCCGUGGGCGUUGGAAGAUUGAGAGGGGUUGCUCCUAGUACGAGAGGACCGGAGUGAACGCACCACUGGUGUUCGGGUUGUCAUGCCAAUGGCAUUGCCCGGUAGCUAAGUGCGGAAAAGAUAAGCGCUGAAAGCAUCUAAGCGCGAAACUUGCCUCAAGAUGAGUCUUCCCUGGGCCUUUAAGGCCCCUGAAGGAACGUUUAAGACUAAGACGUUGAUAGGCUGGGUGUGUAAGUGCAGCGAUGCAUUGAGCUAACCAGUACUAAUGAUCCGUGAGGCUUAACCUU